rnacentral:rRNA from 1 species
ACUAAGCGUACACGGUGGAUGCCCUGGCAGUCAGAGGCGAUGAAGGACGUGCUAAUCUGCGAUAAGCGUCGGUGAGGUGAUAUGAACCGUUAUAACCGGCGAUUUCCGAAUGGGGAAACCCAGUGUGUUUCGACACACUAUCAUUAACUGAAUCCAUAGGUUAAUGAGGCGAACCGGGGGAACUGAAACAUCUAAGUACCCCGAGGAAAAGAAAUCAACCGAGAUUCCCCCAGUAGCGGCGAGCGAACGGGGAGGAGCCCAGAGCCUGAAUCAGUGUGUGUGUUAGUGGAAGUGUCUGGAAAGGCGCGCGAUACAGGGUGACAGCCCCGUACACAAAAAUGCACAUUUUGUGAGCUCGAUGAGUAGGGCGGGACACGUGGUAUCCUGUCUGAAUAUGGGGGGACCAUCCUCCAAGGCUAAAUACUCCUGACUGACCGAUAGUGAACCAGUACCGUGAGGGAAAGGCGAAAAGAACCCCGGCGAGGGGAGUGAAAAAGAACCUGAAACCGUGUACGUACAAGCAGUGGGAGCCUCUUAAUGGGGUGACUGCGUACCUUUUGUAUAAUGGGUCAGCGACUUAUAUUCUGUAGCAAGGUUAACCGAAUAGGGGAGCCGAAGGGAAACCGAGUCUUAACUGGGCGUUAAGUUGCAGGGUAUAGACCCGAAACCCGGUGAUCUAGCCAUGGGCAGGUUGAAGGUUGGGUAACACUAACUGGAGGACCGAACCGACUAAUGUUGAAAAAUUAGCGGAUGACUUGUGGCUGGGGGUGAAAGGCCAAUCAAACCGGGAGAUAGCUGGUUCUCCCCGAAAGCUAUUUAGGUAGCGCCUCGUGAAUUCAUCUCCGGGGGUAGAGCACUGUUUCGGCAAGGGGGUCAUCCCGACUUACCAACCCGAUGCAAACUGCGAAUACCGGAGAAUGUUAUCACGGGAGACACACGGCGGGUGCUAACGUCCGUCGUGAAGAGGGAAACAACCCAGACCGCCAGCUAAGGUCCCAAAGUCAUGGUUAAGUGGGAAACGAUGUGGGAAGGCCCAGACAGCCAGGAUGUUGGCUUAGAAGCAGCCAUCAUUUAAAGAAAGCGUAAUAGCUCACUGGUCGAGUCGGCCUGCGCGGAAGAUGUAACGGGGCUAAACCAUGCACCGAAGCUGCGGCAGCGACGCUUAUGCGUUGUUGGGUAGGGGAGCGUUCUGUAAGCCUGUGAAGGUGUGCUGUGAGACAUGCUGGAGGUAUCAGAAGUGCGAAUGCUGACAUAAGUAACGAUAAAGCGGGUGAAAAGCCCGCUCGCCGGAAGACCAAGGGUUCCUGUCCAACGUUAAUCGGGGCAGGGUGAGUCGACCCCUAAGGCGAGGCCGAAAGGCGUAGUCGAUGGGAAACAGGUUAAUAUUCCUGUACUUGGUGUUACUGCGAAGGGGGGACGGAGAAGGCUAUGUUGGCCGGGCGACGGUUGUCCCGGUUUAAGCGUGUAGGCUGGUUUUCCAGGCAAAUCCGGAAAACCAAGGCUGAGGCGUGAUGACGAGGCACUACGGUGCUGAAGCGACAAAUGCCCUGCUUCCAGGAAAAGCCUCUAAGCAUCAGGUAACAUCAAAUCGUACCCCAAACCGACACAGGUGGUCAGGUAGAGAAUACCAAGGCGCUUGAGAGAACUCGGGUGAAGGAACUAGGCAAAAUGGUGCCGUAACUUCGGGAGAAGGCACGCUGAUAUGUAGGUGAAGCGACUUGCUCGUGGAGCUGAAAUCAGUCGAAGAUACCAGCUGGCUGCAACUGUUUAUUAAAAACACAGCACUGUGCAAACACGAAAGUGGACGUAUACGGUGUGACGCCUGCCCGGUGCCGGAAGGUUAAUUGAUGGGGUUAGCGGCAACGCGAAGCUCUUGAUCGAAGCCCCGGUAAACGGCGGCCGUAACUAUAACGGUCCUAAGGUAGCGAAAUUCCUUGUCGGGUAAGUUCCGACCUGCACGAAUGGCGUAAUGAUGGCCAGGCUGUCUCCACCCGAGACUCAGUGAAAUUGAACUCGCUGUGAAGAUGCAGUGUACCCGCGGCAAGACGGAAAGACCCCGUGAACCUUUACUAUAGCUUGACACUGAACAUUGAGCCUUGAUGUGUAGGAUAGGUGGGAGGCUUUGAAGUGUGGACGCCAGUCUGCAUGGAGCCGACCUUGAAAUACCACCCUUUAAUGUUUGAUGUUCUAACGUUGGCCCCUAAUCGGGGUUGCGGACAGUGUCUGGUGGGUAGUUUGACUGGGGCGGUCUCCUCCUAAAGAGUAACGGAGGAGCACGAAGGUUGGCUAAUCCUGGUCGGACAUCAGGAGGUUAGUGCAAUGGCAUAAGCCAGCUUGACUGCGAGCGUGACGGCGCGAGCAGGUGCGAAAGCAGGUCAUAGUGAUCCGGUGGUUCUGAAUGGAAGGGCCAUCGCUCAACGGAUAAAAGGUACUCCGGGGAUAACAGGCUGAUACCGCCCAAGAGUUCAUAUCGACGGCGGUGUUUGGCACCUCGAUGUCGGCUCAUCACAUCCUGGGGCUGAAGUAGGUCCCAAGGGUAUGGCUGUUCGCCAUUUAAAGUGGUACGCGAGCUGGGUUUAGAACGUCGUGAGACAGUUCGGUCCCUAUCUGCCGUGGGCGCUGGAGAACUGAGGGGGGCUGCUCCUAGUACGAGAGGACCGGAGUGGACGCAUCACUGGUGUUCGGGUUGUCAUGCCAAUGGCACUGCCCGGUAGCUAAAUGCGGAAGAGAUAAGUGCUGAAAGCAUCUAAGCACGAAACUUGCCCCGAGAUGAGUUCUCCCUGAGACUUAGAGUCUCCUGAAGGAACGUUGAAGACGACGACGUUGAUAGGCCGGGUGUGUAAGCGCAGCGAUGCGUUGAGCUAACCGGUACUAAUGAACCGUGAGGCUUAACC